UACGUAGGGGGCAAGCGUUGUCCGGAUUCAUUGGGCGUAAAGAGCGUGUAGGCGGCCAGGUAGGUCGGUUGUGAAAACUGGAGGCUCAACCUUCAGAGGUCGACCGAAACCAUCUGGCUAGAGUCCGGGAGAGGAGAGUGGAAUUCCUGGUGUAGCGGUGAAAUGCGUAGAUAUCUGGAGGAACACCGGUGGCGAAGGCGGCAUCCUGGACCGAGAUCGACGCUGAGGCGCGAAAGCUAGGGGAGCAAACGGG
rnacentral:rRNA from 1 species